rnacentral:rRNA from 1 species
UACGUAGGGAGCGAGCGUUAAUCGGAAUUACUGGGCGUAAAGUGUGCGCAGGCGGCUCUGCAAGUCGAGUGUGAAAUCCCCGAGCUUAACUUGGGAAUUGCGCUCGAAACUAUGGAGCUGGAGUGUGGCAGAGGAAGGUGGAAUUCCACGUGUAGCGGUGAAAUGCGUAGAUAUCUGGAGGAACACCGGUGGCGAAGGCGGCAUCCUGGACCGGUAUUGACGCUGAGGCGCGAAAGCUAGGGGAGCAAACGGG